rnacentral:rRNA from 1 species
CCUACGGGAGGCAGCAGCUAAGAAUAUUCCGCAAUGGACGAAAGUCUGACGGAGCGACGCCGCGUGGAUGAGGAAGGCCGAAAGGUUGUAAAAUCCUUUUGCUGGGGAAGAAUAACCAUGGGAAGAAAUGCCCGUGGGAUGACAUGAACCGGCGAAUAAGCCCCGGCUAACUACGUGCCAGCAGCCGCGGUAAU